UACGAAGGGGGCUAGCGUUGCUCGGAAUGACUGGGCGUAAAGGGCGCGUAGGCGGUUUGUACAGUCAGGUGUGAAAUUCCCGGGCUCAACCUGGGGGCUGCACUUGAUACGUAUGAACUGGAGUGGGGAAGAGGGUCGUGGAAUUCCCAGUGUAGAGGUGAAAUUCGUAGAUAUUGGGAAGAACACCGGUGGCGAAGGCGGCGACCUGGUCCUUGACUGACGCUGAGACGCGAAAGCGUGGGGAGCAAACAGGAUAGAU
rnacentral:rRNA from 1 species